UUAUGUCCAUGUAAAGACAGAAUGCUUCACAUUUGUCCAUCUUGUUCUCUUUUCUUCCUAAAAAUCAGAGUAUGUCUGUUUAGUGGAAACAGUUCCAGAAUUGACAACUACUUUGAGUGUCGUUCUCUAUCUUAAAUCUGGGUUCUUCUUUUUUUAAUGAUUGUUUGAAGGUUCACCGUCACUGAUUUAAAGAUGUCACUUACAUUUUGGAAGGGAUGAAUGGGUACCCACAUGCAUUUCAUGUGUGUUUUGAAUAACAUCUUAAAACCCAGUGUUAUUCUUGUUGAGGACAGCAUUCAUCGUUAAUGUAUUCAAAACCUCUCUUCAGCAAAACCAAGCCAUUUAAAUGUUUUGUGAUCCUUAAGGGCAAAAAAAGUUGUAUAAAUACGAUGAUUUGGUGGUGAUAGAUUGGCGGAGGGUGAAAAGGCAGCAUUGUGCAUGUGACAAUCCCAGUUCUGUUUUUGCCCUGGCAGCUCCCUGCAUUUCAGUGCUCAUUCCACUAUCACCCUGGGGGACGCAUCCCCACACAGUUCAUCUCUGCUGCUGUAUGUGUGCCCUGUGGGACCCCAGCUGCCUGAGCCAGGCAGGCCAGGGAAGUGCAGGUAAUGGCAACACGGAUGGGCACCAAAGCUGCUUCCAGCAGACCCCAAAGCACAGCCCAGCACCCAAACCAAAUGCUCUCUCCACCUCCAAGCAUUGCACAUAUGCUUGACAGGAGUCCAGGCACAAGACAGACUAGUCCAUGCUGUGUCAGUGCCCAAAGAUAAGCAGCGAGGGUGGUGUGUUCACAAUCCAUUGCUCAGUGACAUCACAGCCUGUUGUAUGUCACUGCAGUCCAUCUGUCCCCACAACACUCACUCCAGCAUCACCUCCCAUUUUGCCUUCUCCUGGGUACCGCUGUUUUCCAUCAGGCUCCGAGGACUGAGGCUUUCCAAAAUGCCCUAGGAAGAACAAGCUCAAGAGAAAUUACCCAGCAGGUGACAAGAAAGAGAAAGGGAAAUAAUUCACACAAGAAGGUUUUGCACCAAGUUGAACCAUGAGAUGGUUAAUGAUACAAGAAAUAAGAACACUAUUCAACAUCCAAGUUGAAGUGCAUGUACAUAGGUAUGUGUUUACGCAUUCUUCAACCUGAUCUGAAAAAUCCAGAAUGAGAUAUUUCCCACAAAUAAAUGUAAAGCAAAUGAGA